rnacentral:lncRNA from 1 species
CUCGAAUUAUAUCUCUAUCGGGCAGCACAGUUGUUUCUGAUUCCAGCUCCACAGUUCACUGUUGGGAGCGCCUUGAUGAAGGAAGUCGCUUAUCCUUUUUGAACCUUAGUGUCCUCAUACAUAAAAUGUGAAAAAUAGUAAAACUGUUCUCAAACUAUUCCUGACAGACUACGUGUCAUAUGCUCUCAGAAAGAACACUGUUAGACUACAGACCUCCUUGAAAUUUCAUAUUUAAUUCAAUCUAUCUUACACUAAAUCUGGAAAUCUGGAGUAGGUGGGAUAAGUCCUCUCUCUCUCUCUCUCUCCCCCCCUCUCCCGCCCCCCCCCCCACUUCUUCAAGAGAAGCCACUUCUUAGUGUCUGCAACUCUAAUGGCUUCUUGAUCUAAUUAGUGGACAAAGAGACAAUGUGAUUAAAAUGACAGAUUAACCUGCUCCCAUCAAGACUUCAUCCUGUUUUUUGUAAUUCUUUCCUUACCUAGUUUUUUAUCUGUUGCCCGUCUUAAAUGUAGCUUUAAAUGGAUUUGGACUCCUCAGGAGAAUUUGCUAAUGGUCUGAACAAGUGUGUAGAGCACUGCAAAAGAUUUGGAUACUAUUGCCCGUUUUGAUCUAUUCUGCCGAUCUCUACCAAGAACUUGAUUAAAGAUCUGAGAUGCUGUCCCUGCCCUACCCAAGAGUCCAGAGGCGCCAUCUGGUUCUUUCCUGGAUGGCCUAGGGGUGUCAGAUGCUGGGAAGAGACAGAAGGGUCCUGAACUACGGUGUCUCCUCAGGGGGCAGAAUCCACAAAAUCAUCAGCCUUUCACCACCUGGGUGAACAAUGCUGUACGUUUUUCCCUUAGGUUCCUGUGUCAAAACAACUGCCCGACUCAGGUGAGAAACUGGGGAGGAGGAAAGGUGCAUUUUGUGGCAUGAACAUUCCGUCCACAACUGCAGUCAAGUUGGGGCUGAGGUGGGGGCUGUUACACUUAGGAGAGGAGCGUCUCAUUAGGCAUAUGGGGGCUUGGUUUUAGGAUCAACUACUGC